rnacentral:misc_RNA from 1 species
AAGUCGUAACAAGGUUUCCGUAGGUGAACCUGCGGAAGGAUCAUUACUGAGAGAGGGGCUUCGCGCUCCCGGGGGCUUCGGCCUCCAACUCUUCACCCAUUGUCUACCUACCUAUGUUGCUUUGGCGGGCCUCGGGUACCAUCCCGUGUCGGCCUACCGGUCGGCGAGCGCCCGUCGGAGGCCAAUCAAAUCCUAUUUAUUAGUGAUGUCCGAGUAAAAACACAAUAGUCAAAACUUUCAACAACGGAUCUCUUGGUUCCA